CCUACGGGUGGCAGCAGUGGGGAAUAUUGGGCAAUGGGCGAAAGCCUGACCCAGCAACGCCGCGUGAAGGAAGAAGGCUUUCGGGUUGUAAACUUCUUUUGACAGGGAAGAGCAGAAGACGGUACCUGUCGAAUAAGCCACGGCUAACUACGUGCCAGCAGCCGCGGUAAUACGGAGGUGGCAAGCGUUGGCCGGAUUUACGGGGUGGAAAGGGCGUGUAGCCGGGCUGACAAGUCAGAUGGGAAAUCCGGGGGCUCACCCCCCGAACUGCAUUUGAAACUGUUGGUCUUGAGUAUCGGAGAGGCAGGCGGAAUUCCUAGUGUAGCGGUUAAAUGCGUAGAUAUUAGGAGGAACACCAGUGGCGAAGGCGGCCUGCUGGACGACAACUGACGGUGAGGCGCGAAAGCGUGGGGAGCAAACAGGAUUAGAUACCCCGGUAGUC
rnacentral:rRNA from 1 species